UAUAGGUCGGGCCUUUGUCUAUUGAAUUCACUUGUAUGAUUCAUCUAUCACGGUCCAUCCAAGAUCAUAAAAAUUAUUCUGUUUGAGCUUAAUUAACUAAUGCAAAUCCAUAAUAUUUAUGAAUAUUCUAACAUUUUCCUGUAGUUAACUAGUGAUAAUUUUGUGCUAAACUCUUGAAUUAAACAAGUUUUUAUGCUGAAUUCUUGUUUUGCAAAAUAAUUGGACUGAAUGUUUAUUACUGAGAGACUAAGACGGUACGUUCUAUCAUCUGUGGAUGGGAUGCACUUGUGCAUAUUUGCGGGAUGGGACUUUAAAAUCAUUUCACGGUGAUUAGUUAAUGCAUCUUUCAGUUAAAAAAAAAAAAAAAAAAGCAUUUCAGCGUUGGGAUUCUAACUACAAAGACAAUUCAGAGUUAGGAUCGUCCCGCAUGCCUCUCUCUCUGCUGCCUCUUCUGUUCAUCCAGCAGUGCAAAAAAUCUGGUUAAUGGUUAAACCCUAGAUUCUGCCUCUCUUCGUGUAUGUGUCUUUCUCACCGACUCUUACCAAGGGUAACAGGCAAACAGUGACAUGAGUGAAGAAGCUGAAGGAACAAUGAGGAAGAUCCAAGUGCAGUUAUUUACCAAGUUAAAGCCACCACUGAAAGUUCCGACUACUAUGAUUUCCAUAAUUCCAUCCGUGCAAACCUCACCAGAUUUGGCCUCUCAUCUUUGAUCAAUCGUCUUCUUGAAGCCAUGGUGCCUUAUUAUGUGGAUUCCUUACAAAUUCAAAUAUCUAUGGAUGCUUAAACUUUAAGCGCACUUCAUGUUUUGACCAUGGUAAUCCUGAUUAUAAACCAGAACCUUUUGAUAUUUUGAUUGAUGGUGAGUUGGUUCGAAUGUCACCUGAGGAGUUCUGGUAGUCAGGGAAAUUUCAGUGGUAUGUAUCUUACCAUUUUACUCUUGUUGCCUUUCUGUCGUAAGCUUUUUGUAUAUUUGGGUUUAAUCAAUUCUUCCUUUAUCGAGGAAGUAAUCAUAGAAAGCUGUUUGAAAGAAGAGUUGUGUACAGAGAAUUAGUUAUUUGACUGUUUAGUUGUUAUAUAUGGAAGCUGUCACCAGAAGUUGUUUGCUCUAUCAAUUUUAGCUGCUGCUUCAGAUAGAAAAAAUCAUUCCAUUGUCAGUAGCGGUAAACCAAGUUUUCUAGGGAUUAAUGAUGUGAAGUAUUUCGGAUUCUCUCGUUCAUCACUGGCAUAAUUCUUUACCAUUUGAUUGGGGUUAUAGAUGUUCAGUUCAGUCAACUUCAGCCCAAAUAAUUUACUUCUCGAGGUCUAAUGUAAUAUGUUGUGGGACCUUAGUUUCAGCUGAGAGUCAAGCUCUUCUUGUAUGGGUGAUCAAUUAAACUGAUGCCUGUCUGGAUUAUGGUUUUGAUUUUGCCCUACUCAAGAGACCAGAGCGUUUGAUUUUCAGUUUAGUUUAUUGUUAAUUGGUCAUUGCCAGGUCGUCUGUCGUCAAAACAAGUAUACGCUGCUUCAUUGAUUUUGAGCAUAAUUUCCUAAUUUUAUGUGUAUCGUGGUAUAGCUUUCCAUUUUCAUGGCUUGAAGAUUGAACUCAGGAUUGGAGAAAAUCAACUCAUUUAAGUUUGUUACCUACUUCCACCUCUGCUUCCAGGUAUUGUGAUUUGCCGUCUUAUAUUUGAUCUCUUCUACAGGGAGUGACUUGCAAAGCCAAGGCUGAGUUUUCUGAAAGUGAAUGGCACAGCGAGACAACCUUGCGGAGGAAUUUUUUUUUUUUUGGGGACAAAAUAUUGACACAUGCAAGUUUAUAAUGGAAUGAAAUAUUAUUCUAUUGUAACCAAAGGAUCAAUUCUGUUAGCCAAUUUGGCUCAAGACUUGCUAGUUUUUUAUUUGCAGGUUGCUGUCCCCUAAAUUUACUUGUUUCUUAAAAUCUGGUAAAUUAUUGGGUUUUUGUGAAAUAGGCACAGCCUAAUGCAAGCCUAAUAACAUUACUUACAAAACAUUAGAUUAGUUUAUGUAGACAAAAUUAUGUUCUUCUCA